CUACGUGCCAGCAGCCGCGGUAAUACGUAGGUCCCGAGCGUUGUCCGGAUUUAUUGGGCGUAAAGCGAGCGCAGGCGGUUAGAUAAGUCUGAAGUUAAAGGCUGUGGCUUAACCAUAGUACGCUUUGGAAACUGUUUAACUUGAGUGCAGAAGGGGAGAGUGGAAUUCCAUGUGUAGCGGUGAAAUGCGUAGAUAUAUGGAGGAACACCGGUGGCGAAAGCGGCUCUCUGGUCUGUAACUGACGCUGAGGCUCGAAAGCGUGGGGAGCAAACAGGAUUAGAUACCCUGGUAGUCCACGCCGUAAACGAUGAGUGCUAGGUGUUGGGUCCUUUCCGGGACUCAGUGCCGCAGCUAACGCAUUAAGCACUCCGCCUGGGGAGUACGACCGCAAGGUUGAAACUCAAAGGAAUUGACGGGGGCCCGCACAAGCGGUGGAGCAUGUGGUUUAAUUCGACGCAACGCGAGGAACCUUACCAGCGUUUGACAUC
rnacentral:rRNA from 1 species